UGGGGAAUAUUGGACAAUGGGCGCAAGCCUGAUCCAGCCAUGCCGCGUGAGUGAUGAAGGCCCUAGGGUUGUAAAGCUCUUUCACCGGUGAAGAUAAUGACGGUAACCGGAGAAGAAGCCCCGGCUAACUUCGUGCCAGCAGCCGCGGUAAUACGAAGGGGGCUAGCGUUGUUCGGAUUUACUGGGCGUAAAGCGCACGUAGGCGGACUAUUAAGUUAGGGGUGAAAUCCCGGGGCUCAACCCCGGAACUGCCUUUGAUACUGGUAGUCUUGAGUUCGAGAGAGGUGAGUGGAAUUCCGGGUGUAGAGGUGAAAUUCGUAGAUAUUCGGAGGAACACCAGUGGCGAAGGCGGCUCACUGGCUCGAUACUGACGCUGAGGUGCGAAAGCGUGGGGAGCAAACAGG
rnacentral:rRNA from 1 species